CCUGGCGGCGUGCUAUACUGCAGUCGAGCGAAUGGAUUAGGAGCUUGCUCUUAUGAAGUUAGCGGCGGACGGGUGAGUAACACGUGGGUAACCUGCCCAUAAGACUGGGAUAACUCCGGGAAACCGGGGCUAAUACCGGAUAACAUUUUGAACCGCAGGGUUCGAAAUUGAAAGGCGGCUUCGGCUGUCACUUAUGGAUGGACCCGCGUCGCAGUAGCUAGUUGGUGAGGUAACGGCUCACCAAGGCAACGAUGCGUAGCCAACCUGAGAGGGUGAUCGGCCACACUGGGACUGAGACACGGCCCAGACUCCUACGGGAGGCAGCAGUAGGGAAUCUUCCGCAAUGGACGAAAGUCUGACGGAGCAACGCCGCGUGAGUGAUGAAGGCUUUCGGGUCGUAAAACUCUGUUGUUAGGGAAGAACAAGUGCUAGUUGAAUAAGCUGGCACCUUGACGGUACCUAACCAGAAAGCCACGGCUAACUACGUGCCAGCAGCCGCGGUAAUACGUAGGUGGCAAGCGUUAUCCGGAAUUAUUGGGCGUAAAGCGCGCGCAGGUGGUUUCUUAAGUCUGAUGUGAAAGCCCACGGCUCAACCGUGGAGGGUCAUUGGAAACUGGGAGACUUGAGUGCAGAAGAGGAAAGUGGAAUUCCAUGUGUAGCGGUGAAAUGCGUAGAGAUAUGGAGGAACACCAGUGGCGAAGGCGACUUUCUGGUCUGUAACUGACACUGAGGCGCGAAAGCGUGGGGAGCACACAGGAUUAGAUACCCUGGUAGUCCACGCCGUAAACGAUGAGUGCUAAGUGUUAGAGGGUUUCCGCCCUUUAGUGCUGAAGUUAACGCAUUAAGCACUCCGCCUGGGGAGUACGGCCGCAAGGCUGAAACUCAGAGGAAUUGACGGGGGCCCGCACAAGCGGUGGAGCAUGUGGUUUAAUUCGAAGCAACGCGAAGAACCUUACCAGGUCUUGACAUCCUCUGACAACCCUAGAGAUAGGGCUUCUCCUUCGGGAGCAGAGUGACAGGUGGUGCAUGGUUGUCGUCAGCUCGUGUCGUGAGAUGUUGGGUUAAGUCCCGCAACGAGCGCAACCCUUGAUCUAGUUGCCAUCAUUUAGUUGGGCACUCUAAGUGACUGCCGGGACAAACCGGAGAAAGGGGGGGGGAGAAGCCCAAUCACCAGGCCCCUUAUGACCGGGGGCAACAACGGGGUACAAGGGAGGGGAAAAAAGUGGCAGAACGCCGGGGGGAGCAAUCCCAAAAACCGUUUUCAUUUGGAAGGAGGGGGGAAUCGCCA
rnacentral:rRNA from 1 species